CACACAUGGGCUACCAUUACCACAGUUUCCCCCACUCAUCUGUCUCUUUCUAUCGGAGAGAGAGAGCCGAGAGGAGAAGGAUCGCUUUGUGCAUAGAAAGAUGUGU